rnacentral:rRNA from 1 species
GAUGAACGCUAGCUACAGGCUUAACACAUGCAAGUCGAGGGGUAGCACGGAGGAAGCUUGCUUCCUUGGGUGACGACCGGCGCACGGGUGAGUAACGCGUAUCCGACCUACCCAUAACUCGGGCACAGCCGCUCGAAAGAGUGAUUGAUUCCCGAUAUGUCUUUAGAGUAGACUUAAAGAUGAAAGAUUUAUCGGUUAUGGAUGGGGAUGCGUAAGAUUAGGUAGUAGGCGGGGUAACGGCCCACCUAGCCGACGAUCGUUAGGGGUUCUGAGAGGAAGGUCCCCCACACUGGUAAUGAGACACAGACCAGACUCCUACGGGAGGCAGGAGUGAGGAAUAUUGGUCAAUGGGCGGAAGCCUGAACCAGCCAAGUAGCGUGAAGGAUUACAGCCCUACGGGUUUUAAACUUCUUUUAUAUAAGAGUAAUGUGCACUACGUGUAGUGUAUUGCAAGUAUUAUAUGAAUAAGCAUCGGCUAACUCCGUGCCAGCCGCCGCCGUAAGAC